CCUACGGGCGGCAGCAGUGGGGAAUAUUGGGCAAUGGGCGCAAGCCUGACCCAGCAACGCCGCGUGAAGGAAGAAGGCUUUCGGGUUGUAAACUUCUUUUGACAGGGAAGAGUAGAAGACUGUACCUGUCGAAUAAGCCACGGCUCCCUACGUGCCAGCAGCCGCGGUAAUACGUCGGUGGCAAGCGUUGUCCGGAUUUACUGGGUGUAAAGGGCGUGUAGCCGGGUUGACAAGUGAGAUGUGAAGUCCUGCGGCUUAACCGCAGAACUGCAUUUGAAACUGUUGAUCUGUGUAACUGGAGAGGCAGAGGGAAUUCCUAGUGUAGCGGUGAAAUGCGUAGAUAUUAGGAGGAACACCAGUGGCGAAGGCGGUCUGCUGGACAGCAACUGACGGUGAGGCGCGAAAGCGUGGGGAGCAAACAGGAUUAGAUACCCGGGUAGUC
rnacentral:rRNA from 1 species